rnacentral:lncRNA from 1 species
UGAACAAGAGUGAAUGUUUGCUGGGAGAGAGCACUGAGGACCCUGGCCAGGCAAGCUCUGUAAGAAACUCAAAGUACGACGUCCCUCGAGUCUAUGGAUGGAGCAGCACUACCUGCAGGGUCCUGAAUAAAUUCUCAGAGCUACAGCAGAGCUCAGAGGCUCUCUAGUACCAGAAGGACACCAACUGGAGUGAGUCCAGCUGAGGCCAUCAAGGAUGGUGGUCACUCCAGAACUGCUCAUAGACAGAAAGAUUUGGCUACGUUUGCACGGUGCACGGCCACUGCCCGACAGCAUUAGUGGAAACUGCCUUUCCCCGGUGACCUUGCUGCUAAGCUGGAGACUGCCAGGGACUGUCACCUCCAAUGACACUGCUCAGAGGGUCCUUGUCAGAACAAUUACCACUGAUAACUUAGGCUGUGAUUUAAGGAAGAGAAAAAUAACCAAGACUAUUU